UAUGGACAAAUCAGUCUUUGGUCAGCUGAAGACUAUUAGCCAGUACAAAUCUUCACAUUGGGAUAGUGGAUUCAUUAAAAUGGUUCAGUACUGAUUUCUAAUACAACUAGAUAAUUUCAAAAUAUACUUUGAAACUUUUUCCACAAUAUUUGCGGGUAAAACUAUUGACGUUUUGACUGAUCUGUGAAAUAUGGGCAACUGAUCCCUUUACUCCUAAGCAUCUCUUUGUGAUGUAAUGUACUGAGAGUGACGAAGCAGAUAAGACUUCAGCUACAGAGAAAAUGGAUGUCUUCUUGAGAAUGCAUCAAAUCAUGUCUGGAAUGAAAUCCAUUUGAGGGCUCAUCUGAACUCCUACUCUACAAUAACAGAAUAGACAACAAAAGAAGAAUGCUUACUGUUUUGUUUUCAUUGUAAUGAAAACAAAAGGCUGCACAAAAGGCUGGCGUUAAUAUUUCCUACUGUGGCAUUUUCUCCAUCAAGUUAUUGGAGGAAGAGAAUGGACACACGUUCUCUGAUUUCUUGGACAAUUCUUGAAAAGUGGAGUUCGUGAUUUUCUUACAAAGUGGAAUGAAAAGCAGAUGAAAAUGCCCUAGCAGUGAACCAUUGGAUACAAUACUCUGCAUCACUGGACUGAGAGAAAAGACAAGAUUUGAUUUCUCACCACUUUCUCCAUACCGGGCAAGAAUUUAUAUAAGCUAUCUCUUCACAGUAAAACAGCAUGUGUGAGUGGGCAGGAUUUUUUUUUUUUCAAUUACAGUGAUUAAUGAAAUCAAACUGUCACUAGUGUGAAUUUAGUUUCUGAAAGCAAGAAAACUUGUUUAAAAUAUUUGUUGUAACAUGUUGCUAUUAUGACAUGUGGUUUUCCAUAGCUCAAGAAAAAGAAAAAGUCUCUGCUUUCCACACAGUUUUCUUAUCUGUCUAAUCAAAGUAACUUGAGCUGACAGCUGACAAAAACAGCUCUCCACAGAACAAGAUAAUUUACCUGCAUGCAGCUGAAACAGAAAAACCAAACUAUGAGUACAUUUAUACUCCCUGGAGGAGUAGAUAGUUAUAUGUAGAGAUGAAGACAGUGACGCUCACAUAACGCAGGCUUGAGAGUGAGAAAGAUGUUUGCAGUUUAAGGUGAUCUAAUAAUCGAGAGAUGAAGCGAUACACUUAAUGCAUGUCAAAGAGAAUUCUCAAGCAGAAUGAGAAUGCUUGGAAAUUGGGCUACCAAAUCUGGCUUGCAAAAAUCCCAAACCACUUGCUAACAAUAAAGAGAUACAUAAAAUUCAAACUUUCUGCUGGCUUGAAGCACAUGUCUUGAAUUAUAUAACCUAUAUCCAAUAGUUUGAAUGCAAAGAGAAAAGGACAAAUUAAAAGAAAAAUGAAUUAUUGCAAAUACAAGUUAAACCAAACACUAACUGAAAAAAUAGACACUAAGUUACUUUAUGGGAAAACAAUGGCUUGAUUAAUAUUAAUGAAAGUGUAACAAUCUAUCAAUAAACCUGUCUCAGGGGAUACACACCCUUUGAAUGCACCUAGCUUUCAUGUUAUUUCCUUUGAAAUAUUUAAAUCCACAGUUCUUGUUACAUUAUGCAACUACUUUGCAAAUCACCUGGUUCUCAGCCAACAGCAGGAUAUUAUUUGCACAGAAAAGUUCACAUAUAUUCACGUUGCCAACCCAUAUACAUCUAAGACCAUCACAAACAUGUUUUCUACGUUCAUCUAUACAUAAAAUAAACAACUAAGAGAACAUCCAUGUUUUAUUUCCAGGUCAUGGUUGAAUCAUUCACUAAGCAUCAAUUCUCACUGGACUUUACUUCCAUCCUAAACCACUUUAUUUCAUGUUUUGCAAUAUCACUAUAAUUCUGUUGUUGUUGUUGUUAUUGUUAUGCAUCAUAUCAUAAUCAAUUCUUGAUGAUUUUGAAUAAAAACUCAUUGAGCU